rnacentral:rRNA from 1 species
AGCAUAUCAAUAAGCGGAGGAAAAGAAACCAACAGGGAUUGCUCUAGUAACGGCGAGUGAAGCAGCAAUAGCUCAAAUUUGAAAUCUGGCGUCUUCGGCGUCCGAGUUGUAAUUUGUAGAGGAUGCUUCUGAGUAACCACCGACCUAAGUUCCUUGGAACAGGACGUCAUAGAGGGUGAGAAUCCCGUAUGCGGUCGGAAAGGUGCUCUACACGUAGCUCCUUCGACGAGUCGAGUUGUUUGGGAAUGCAGCUCUAAAUGGGAGGUAAAUUUCUUCUAAAGCUAAAUAUUGGCCAGAGACCGAUAGCGCACAAGUAGAGUGAUCGAAAGAUGAAAAGCACUUUGGAAAGAGAGUUAAAAAGCACGUGAAAUUGUUAAAAGGGAAGGGAUUGCAACCAGACUUGCUCGCGGUGUUCCGCCGGUCUUCUGACCGGUCUACUCGCCGCGUUGCAGGCCAGCAUCGUCUGGUGCCGCUGGAUAAGACUUGAGGAAUGUAGCUCCCUCGGGAGUGUUAUAGCCUCUUGUGAUGCAGCGAGCGCCGGGCGAGGUCCGCGCUUCGGCUAGGAUGCUGGCGUAAUGGUCGUAAUCCGCCCGUCUUGAAACACGGACCAAGGAGUCUAACAUCUAUGCGAGUGUUCGGGUGUCAAACCCCUACGCGUAAUGAAAGUGAACGGAGGUGAGAACCGCAAGGUGCAUCAUCGACCGAUCCUGAUGUCUUCGGAUGGAUUUGAGUAUGAGCAUAGCUGUUGGGACCCGAAAGAUGGUGAACUAUGCCUGAAUAGGGUGAAGCCAGAGGAAACUCUGGUGGAGGCUCGCAGCGGUUCUGACGUGCAAAUCGAUCGUCAAAUUUGGGUAUAGGGGCGAAAGACUAAUCGAACCAUCUAGUAGCUGGUUCCUGCGA